AAAUGAAUUGACGGGGACCCGCACAAGCGGUGGAGCAUGUGGUUUAAUUCGAAGCAACGCGAAGAACCUUACCAGGUCUUGACAUCCCUCUGACUGGCCCAUAACGGGGUCUUUCCUUCGGGACAGAGGAGACAGGUGGUGCAUGGUUGUCGUCAGCUCGUGUCGUGAGAUGUUAGGUUAAGUCCUGCAACGAGCGCAACCCCUAUCCUUAGUAGCCAGCAAGUUAAGUUGGGCACUCUAGGGAGACUGCCAGGGAUAACCUGGAGGAAGGCGGGGAUGACGUCAAAUCAUCAUGCCCCUUAUGAUCUGGGCUACACACGUGCUACAAUGGUAAUAACAAAGGGAAGCGAAGCCGCGAGGUGAAGCAAAUCUCAUAAAGAUUAUCUCAGUUCGGAUUGAAGUCUGCAACUCGACUUCAUGAAGCUGGAAUCGCUAGUAAUCGUGGAUCAGCAUGCCACGGUGAAUACGUUCCCGGGUCUUGUACACACCGCCCGU
rnacentral:rRNA from 1 species